rnacentral:lncRNA from 1 species
CUCUCUUGAGUUGAUAUGGAGUUUGUGUCACAAAGCAAAAGAACCUUUUCUGGCAUGUGUAAAUGAUUUAGGUAUUGGGAGGAAUCUUAGAAUCUAGAACAUAGAAUGCCAGAAUUGAAAGAGACUUUAGAUCCAAGAUCAUAGGCUGCCAGAACUCAGAGACCUUAGAAUAUAAAGUAUUGAAUAAUAUAACCACAAGGGUCUUUAAACAAUACUAAAAAUGGCCAUUAGAUCAGAAUAUUAGAGUAUUGAGAGAUCUUAGAAGACGUCUUUUCUCCCCUUAGAUUAUAAAUGCCUUGAGGACAGGGACCAUCUUUUCUUCCUUUUUGUGUCCCAGUGCUUAGCACAUAGUAGUCACUGAAUAAGGGCUUACUAAUUGCUAAUCUAAUACAGGGAGUUCUUAUCCUGGGUUUCAAAAACUUUUUUUAUCACAAUAUUUUUAUAUUAGUAUUUUCAAAAUAAUCAGAUUUAUUUUUAAAAGAAUGAAUUUUACCUAUUUGAAAACUUUCUUCUAGAGGGCAUCCAUUAGCUUUACCCUCCUGCCAAAGGAGUAUAUUUGACCCAAAGAAGAGCUCAUGAUCUAGUCCCAAACCUCCUGACUAAGGAGAUGCAAAGACCUAAGAUCAGUUUCAGCUUUGCCAUUUUGGGAGUCUGUGUGGUAGCUUGAUCAUUAAGGUAUAGUCCCUAUCUUAAUGGAGAUACUAUCAAGUAUGAGGAUAUGACACAUACAUAAAAGAAUAUAGUCCAAAAAUCAGCAUGCCUCAAUUUACUAUUUUGUAAAAUAAAACAGGGAAGAGUAGAGUAAAUGAACACUAAAUCUACAAUCCUGUGUUAACAAUUUAAUUUGGCAAAUAUGCAAGACAAUGUCCCAGCUAUGGGACUCUAGAUAUGUUAACGUCUUGUGAUAAUAACAUAAAAAUAUUUCUGAAAGGUGUUCUUUACAUUCUGGGCAAUGGAAAUAUCAGUAGAGGUCUCUGCUCUAUGGUGGAAAGAGCACUGGGUUUGGAGUCCAUAGAUUUGUGUCCAGGCUCUUUCUUAAAAAGUAAUCUUAGGCAAAGCUUUUAAUUUCCCUGAGCCUUGGUGUUGCCAUAUAUAAGACAGCAAUAAUGACAAUACUUGCACAGCCCAUCUUCUAGAUUGUUUGGUAGAAAGCCCUCUGUAAAUGUUGAUGUAUUUACUUAGAUGUGAGUUCUUAUGUAUGACUUAGAUUAGGGAAUGUUUCAUAGAGGAGGCUAUACUUGAGCAUUUCUUUUAAGGAUAGGUAUGACUUCCACAGGUAGAGGUUUUCCAGAAGGAGCUGAUUCCAGGCAUCGGGAGUGAUGUGAACAAAGGAGACAGGCAGCAAAGUUCUUAAAGACACUGCCAGGCAUUCUGUAGCCUGGAGCAUGGCAUGUAUUAAGGAGAGCAGAUGGAGACACAGUUGGACAGGGAGGGUGGCAACAGAGUCUUGUAGGUCUUGAAAACCAGGUUAAGGAGUUUAGACUUUCUCCCUGGGAGUCAUUGAAGAUUUUAGACUAGGAGAGUGACAUAAGACUUGUGUAUAGUCAAGAGAGACUUUGGUUCUGUGUUUAGAAGGUAUUUAUGAUUUAAUGUCUAUUCCUAGUAAUUUAUACAUCAAGGAAGAGAUUUCUGAGAUCCUAUUCUAAAGGCACAAAAUAUGCUAUUCAUAAUUCUGAGAGUGCUACUGUUGCAAGUGGGUACCUUUUAAAAAUGUGUGUGUGUAUGAAGUCAUACAUGCUGAAUUUGCAAAUAGUAUUCUCUAUGAAAUUUUAUGCUUAGGGGCAUUUCCUCAUUGGAAAGUCAGAGUCAAAUUUUAUUUUUUGUACUGUUCCUAAUGCCUGAAAGUAAUAACUCUACUCUGAUAUGACUUUAUCAGUCAAGACAUUUUGCUAGUCCAUUGUCACUCCCUUCUCUCUCACUUCGUUUCUUGCACUUUUUUUAUUCUUUUAUCUACUUUUCACUCACCCAGCUUAUCUCUCUUAUUCCUUUGAGAAUUUUUUAAAUUGUCCUUUCCUGAUUGACUCUAUCUCAGUGUCUCUCUCAUUAUUUAUCAAUCCUUCUUCUC